UUACGUACUGAGUAGACAGAAAUGUUCUGUAAUAUUGAGGAUUUAUGAGGAUACUGUCUUUUAAAAUCAAUCCUUGGUUCUCUAGUGCUAUGUUCUUGUUACUCUUUUUAGGUUUUACUUUGUGAGGUAACUGUUGAUUUCCAGGGUGCUAUAAGAAAUAAAACAAAGAUAUUCUACGUUCUUUUUCUAGUAACUUUUAGUAAGUUAACUUUGCUUGUGGUUUUACAGUUUACAAAGUACUUCCAUACAUCUCUUUAAUUUUCACAUUAUCUUAUAUAAUCCUGAAUCCAAAAUAGGCGUAGGAGAUAAGUAUUCUUACCAUUUCAUUUUACAGAUGGCAAAAUAGAGGCUGAAACAUUUCACUUGAUUUGUAAAUGUCACAGUCAAUGAGGAGCAAACUGAGGCACUAACUCAGCCCUAGAGGCUGCACUCACAUGGAGGAAAUUGAGCAACUGUUUUUGAAGAGAAUGGAAAGUGGAAUAUAAAAGAGAACGUUACCAAAGCAACUUUGGUCUCAUAAUCAUUGGAAAUCUGGAUGCAGACUUCUUCCGCUCUCGCUUGACAAGCUCGCUCCACCACUUCCUUCCACUGCCUCUGCACGACGGAGCGCCAGCCCUUCCAGACUUUCUUCAGUAAUGCUCUCUGGAAGUACUGGUCAGCUAGUUUACCUUCAUAAACCUAAAUAAAAGUGACAAACAACCUCAAAGCCCAGUGGACCGGUGAAUGCAUUGGUAGUAAUAACAGACAUGACGCGGUGCUAAGUGUACACACACGGUCAUUCGACCCCCGGGAGCUAUGCGGUUCUCUCACUGCAGCUGGGAGGCCAGGCCUAGCAGCAAGAGCCCUGCUGCGGUAACAUGUGCGGGAAGGGAAAAGCCAGACCUGCUUCACCCACAGCCUCGUUCCUUCCACCGUGGCUUACCGCAGUUAAUCAGGUUAGGGGAAAAACAGAAAACCAAAUCAAAUUACAACCUUGCCACUUUACCUAUACAUUUGCAUACUGCAUAAAUAUUUAAAUAAAUAUUUAUUCUCAAUGGUCUUUCAAA